rnacentral:piRNA from 1 species
UUCUUCGAUUGUUCUUCCAGGGCUCAG